ensembl:lncRNA
UGUGAUGUUUAAAUGAGCUGCAGUCCUUUUUUUAAAUGUAGGAGCGAGAGUGUGCUUUUUGUUAAGAUUAAAAACAUUUCCAUGACCUUGAAUGCUCAUUGCUGACAAAUAAAAUCCAUGGAGGAGAGUUUGCCAGGUGCGUAAUGUGCACUGCAUAGAGUGAAUGCUGCAGAGGAAGUGCCCCUUUAUGGCUAAUCUGAGAAUGGGUGUUUGCAGCACCUUGUUUGGGGACUCUGUUUCUGUUUUUCAGCAUGAAAAGGGCAGGGAAAACAAAAGGGCAGCAGUGGCCGCCCACUUCUUUCUGUACACCUAUAUACAUCAGAAUCAGUCUGAAUCAAAUCACAGCAUGAGCUGUGCUCAGAUGGAGGUGUUUAGUCAGUAAUGUUAGAUUUGAAUGCUUUAGGAAAAUGCACUGCGUUUUCUGGUCUUACCGACCACUCAAAAUGCUUCAGACUAGAAGUCACAAUUUACCAUGCAUUCAUACAGGUGUUGCACUUUAAGCUCUUCGUUUGCUUCUCAUCCACAGCCAAUUCAGUAUCACUAAAUAACCUAUCAUGCAUGUUUUGUUUGGACUGUGGGAGAAAGCUGAAGUACCCAGAGGAAACUCACGUAAGCACAGGGAGAGCAUUCAAACUCUGCACCGAACCACUGAACAACUGGACCGCCCUGUCUUAUAGAAAGUGUUCUUCCAUUUACUAUGUUCAGAAAACAGCUUCUGACAAUCACUCUCAGGCCGACGCCAUCUGCUGGGACUCAGUGAGAGCUCCGAUAAUCAGGUCGGUAUGUCCCACCCUGAAGACUGGCUUCAAGCUGAGUAUCUAUCUACAAAGAAAAAGCAAACACAAUUCUGGCCAUGGCCACCACAGCCUCGGUCUGCGUGCCUUUCCUGCUGAUCCUCCAGGGUCUUCCCACAGUUCAAAGACUGAUUUCUGCAGAUUCGUGUUAAAUGAACGGGAAACCACUGUGGCUGUGAAUGUGAUUAUCUACCAAGAGACAUUUAAUUUUAGGGCAAAAUGACAAAUUAUAAUCUUAUCUCUGCGUGAAAAACCACUGUCUGCUCAUUUACUUGAAUGGGGCCAAUCCAGUCAGCAAGACACAGCAGCAGCCAAUCAAAUACAUGCUUUCCUGCUCAAUUAUUUU